rnacentral:rRNA from 1 species
AAUAUUGCACAAUGGAGGAAACUCUGAUGCAGCGACGCCGCGUGAGCGAAGAAGGCCUNCGGGUCNUNAAGCUCCGUCCUAUGGGNAGAUAAUGACGGUACCAUAGGAGGAAGCCCCGGCUAACUACGUGCCAGCAGCCGCGGUAAUACGUAGGGGGCGAGCGUUGUCCGGAAUGACUGGGCGUAAAGGGUACGUAGGCGGCUAGGCAAGUCAGAUGUGAAAGGCACAGGCUUAACCUGUGUAAGCAUUUGAAACUGUCUAGCUUGAGUUAAGGAGAGGAAAGUGGAAUUCCUGGUGUAGCGGUGAAAUGCGUAGAUAUCAGGAGGAAUACCAGUGGCGAAGGCGACUUUCUGGACUUAAACUGACGCUGAGGUACGAAAGCGUGGGGAGCAAACAG